rnacentral:rRNA from 1 species
UACGUAGGGCGCAAGCGUUAUCCGGAAUUAUUGGGCGUAAAGAGCUCGUAGGCGGUUUGUCGCGUCUGCCGUGAAAGUCCGGGGCUCAACUCCGGAUCUGCGGUGGGUACGGGCAGACUAGAGUGAUGUAGGGGAGACUGGAAUUCCUGGUGUAGCGGCGAAAUGCGCAGAUAUCAGGAGGAACACCAGUGGCGAAGGCGGUGCUCUGGGCCGGAACUGACGCUGAGGAGCGAAAGCGUGGGGAGCAAACAGG